rnacentral:rRNA from 1 species
AUGUGGGUCAUUCAUAAGAAGUGCCUUACGGCAGACAAUCUUCAGAAACGAGGAUGGCCAUCGAAUCGGGACUGCCCGCUUUGUUUAGCCCAACCGGAGAGCUGCACACACCUGUUUGUGCAUUGCAGAUUUACACAGCAACUCUGGAGUAUAUUUCAACAAUGGUCUGGAGUCGAUUUCUCCAUCCCGGAUAGCAGCUUCGACAACACUGAAGACUGGUGGCUGGCGGCGAGGAGGACAAUCCCAAAGCAAACGCACCGGAACUUUGACACCAUCGCCAUUCUUAUUCAUUGGAGGAUCUGGAAAGAACGGAAUGCGAUAAUUUUUCAACAAACAGCUUGUAAUAUUGAUAGGGUCUUAGACCUAAUCAGGGAGGAUAUUGGAGUGUGGAGAUCCGCCGGAUGUGUGGCUGAUUUAGGUAGCUAG